rnacentral:misc_RNA from 1 species
GGCAGAGUUACCAGUUGAAAUAGUUGAUACUCGCCUAAUGCAAGCGCGUGAGAUACUUGAAGACUUGUUGAAGCCUGUGGAUGAAUCUCAGGAUUUCUAUAAGAAGCAGCAGCUAAGAGAGCUAGCAAUGUUGAAUGGUACACUUCGCGAAGAAGGUUCUCCAAUGUCUGGUUCAGUCUCCCCCUUCCACAGCAGUCUUGGUAUGAAGAGGGCCAAGACAAGGGGGUAAUGGAUCCCCAUUCUUAUUUGGCUUUUGGAGCAUGUGUGUUUGUCCUGCCAGUAAUCAGCGGUUCCCAUGCCACAGAUGUUGCUGUGUCAGCUAUUGCCUCCGACUGCCGUCGGGGGACUGGCAAUGUUGGGUGUGCUAGUUCUAACUUGUCUCUAUAUGAAGUGUGUCUAUCUUAUGUUUGGGGGAGGUUUAUCGACAGUAUCACAUGGUAAAGGAGCCAGUUGAGUUCGGGGGUUUGCUUCCAAGACUGCCCUUGUAUUAAAUUAGGCUUUACUAUAUAAGUGUGUAUUGACAUUUUU